CUACGGGAGGCUGCAGUCGAGAAUCUUCCGCAAUGGGCGAAAGCCUGACGGAGCGACGCCGCGUGAUUGAUGAAGCUCUUCGGAGUGUAAAGAUCUUUUAUGAGGGAAGAAGUUUAUUGACGGUACCUCAUGAAUAAGGGGCUCCUAAUCUCGUGCCAGCAGGAGCGGUAAUACGAGAGCCCCGGGCGUUAUCCGGAAUCAUUGGGCGUAAAGGGUGCGUAGGUGGUUUUGUUAGUCGUUUGUAAAAUCUCCAGGCUCAACCUGGAACCUGCGAACGAAACGGCAAAACUUGAGAAUGUGAGAGGUAUAGGGAACUCAUGGCGUAGGGGUGAAAUCCGUUGAUAUCAUGGGGAACACCAAAAGCGAAGGCACUAUACUGGCACAUAUCUGACACUCAAGCACGAAAGCGUGGGUAGCGAAUGGGAUUAGAUACCCCGGUAGUC
rnacentral:rRNA from 1 species